CUGUCAAUUUUGCCCAACCAACACUAAAACUUGAGUAAAGUGCAAUACCUAGUCCGCCACUAGGUGGCAGUGCACAAUGAAAUGUUCUUCUUCUGCUGAUUCUGGCAUUUGUUUUGCCUUGGGGAAAGCCUGAAAAAACGUGAGCCAGAGCAGGAGUAAAUAUUAAGAUUUAAAUUGAUUUAGAGAGUGAAAUAUAUCCUUGAGGUUGAACCACAUUGAAAAUUAGACAACACCUGUUGUAAACAAAGUUAUAUUGUGGAUAAAAAACCAGUCUGGCUAUCUACAAUAGCAGUGGAUGUUACCUCACAGGUACAUUUUGUUGUAUAUUUCUAAUCUUGGUACAAUGAAAAAUGCAUUUUUGAAGGAAAUAAUUUUGUUUUGAGUCAAUUUUGAGUUACUAUCCAAUAUUGUACUUUUGUUUGUCCAAUUCCAUUUUAUUGAUUUUCAUUUUAAGAUGUAUUAUCGAGAAUAUGGACUUUUAAGUGAUGAAUGGAUGAAAAAAGGACAUUUAGUUGAACAUUAGUUAAUGUCUGCACAUUUUUUUGUGUAGACUGGUUUUUUUUAGGCUUCUUCUCGUCCUGGAUCCUUUGUGUCCUUUCCACUGAAGCUGGAUUCUUCUCUGUUCGCCCUGGUGUUUGUUUUCCGGGUCCACUGCUUCAAUAACAGCGCUGCAACGGUUCCAUUGGGUGAUUUGAUAUGGACGCUAAGUAUUGAAGGGGUAGUUGGAUAGUUAAAUUAUUUGAGUGCACUCAAGGGUAAUUUUUUUUUUUUAAAUAUUUCUCCUUUGUUUUGUUUUAUGAGAUCUCAAAAGUUGUGGCCAAUUUGUAACAUCAGUGUUACUAAUUUUGUGUGAACUGAACUAAUUAUUGAAUUUUGAGUAAGAAAAUAAGAAAAAUAAUUAGAACAAGAACUACAUUUAAACUUUAA